UACGGGGGGGGCAAGCGUUGUUCGGAAUUACUGGGCGUAAAGGGCUCGUAGGCGGCCAACUAAGUCCGACGUGAAAUCCCCAGGCUUAACCUGGGAACUGCGUCGGAUACUGGAUGGCUUGAAUUCGGGAGAGGGAUGCAGAAUUCCAGGUGUAGCGGUGAAAUGCGUAGAUAUCUGGAGGAAUACCGGUGGCGAAGGCGGCAUCCUGGACCGGCACUGACGCUGAGGAGCGAAAGCGUGGGGAGCAAACAGG
rnacentral:rRNA from 1 species